rnacentral:rRNA from 1 species
AGUGAACGCUGGCGGUAGGCCUAACACAUGCGAGUCGAACGGCAGCACAGUAAGAGCUUGCUCUUACGGGUGGCGAGUGGCGGACGGGUGAGGAAUACAUCGGAAUCUACUUUUUCGUGGGGGAUAACGUAGGGAAACUUACGCUAAUACCGCAUACGACCUACGGGUGAAAGCAGGGGAUCUUCGGACCUUGCGCGAUUGAAUGGGCCGAUGUCGGAUUAGCUAGUUGGCGGGGUAAAGGCCCACCAAGGCGACGAUCCGUAGCUGGUCUGAGGGGAUGAUCAGCCACACUGGAACUGAGACACGGUCCAGACUCCUACGGGAGGCAGCAGUGGGGAAUAUUGGACAAUGGGCGCAAGCCUGAUCCAGCCAUACCGCGUGGGUGAAGAAGGCCUUCGGGUUGUAAAGCCCUUUUGUUGGGAAAGAAAAGCAGCAGGUUAAUACCCCGCUGUUCUGACGGUACCCAAAGAAUAAGCACCGGCUAACUUCGUG